rnacentral:rRNA from 1 species
GACAGAGGGUGCAAACGUUGCUCGGAAUCACUGGGCGUAAAGGGCGUGUAGGCGGGAAGGAAAGUCAGAUGUGAAAUCCCCAGGCUCAACCUGGGAACUGCAUUUGAAACUCCCUUUCUUGAGUACCGGAGAGGAAAGUGGAAUUCCUGGUGUAGAGGUGAAAUUCGUAGAUAUUCGGAAGAACACCAGUGGCGAAGGCGGCUCACUGGUCCGGUACUGACGCUGAGGUGCGAAAGCGUGGGGAGCAAACAGG